AUGGGUUCGUCGACGGCGCGCGUUCUCCUCGCGGUGGCUCUCGCCGUGCUUCUAACGUCGACGUCCCAUGUCGCUGAUGCCGCCAGGCCCGCGCCGGCGGCGGACCAGGCGCUGCUGCUCGACGGCGGCGUCGUCCAGGCGGUGACGCUGGCGGACAAGGCGAGGCAGACGGUGGAGCUGCUCAUGGCCAGGUUGCCGGCCGGUCCCAGCCCCAAGGGACCCGGCCACUAG
rnacentral:rRNA from 1 species